CUAGGAUGAGCCCAGUCACCGUAGACAGCGGGUGCCGUAAGGCUUAAUUUCCUGCUUAGGCGAAAAAGGUUAUUUUCUUUUGUCUGCGGUAAAACCCGUAGUUUUUUAUUAUAGCG
rfam:Candidatus Wildermuthbacteria bacterium GWA2_46_15 gwa2_scaffold_7447, whole genome shotgun sequence.